rnacentral:lncRNA from 1 species
AGUUAUGAAUGAGUAUGAACUAAAAUAUGGAUUCAUGUAUAUAAGAUUCUAUAGUAGUCUCAUAUCAAAGGGUUACAUACACAACUCUCACUACAAGAAAACAUCUUUUGAUGGAUAAGUUGAUUUCACAAGAUGUUUCUUAAGUCAGAUCAAUUCAGUAAACUCAUUCUUUAAUGAGUACCUAUAUCUUUGUAUUAGUGUUUCACACAAGUAGCUUAUAAAAUCAGCCACUCUCUCCAUCGAGCA